rnacentral:ncRNA from 1 species
CCCGACGACUUUGCCAUGAAGUGUCUGUCCCAUCAAUUGGCGAUGGUCGGCGACCUGCCUACCACGGUGUUGACGGGUAACGGGGAAUCAGGGUUCGAUUCCGGAGAGGGAGCCUGCGAAACGGCUACCACCUCCAAGGAGGGCAGCAGGCGCGCAACUUACCCAAUCCCGACACGGGGAGGUAGUGACGAAAAAUAACGUGGCGGGGCCCUUUCGUGGUCGCCGCGGGCGGAAUGAGCGCAAUUUAAAAGAGUGUGCGAGGAGCUAUUGGAGGGCAAGCCUGGUGCCAGCAGCCGCGGUAAUUCCAGCUCCAAUAGCCUAUAUCGGAGUUGCUGCGGUUAAAAAGCUCGUCGUUGGAUCUCGGAGGCGGCACGGUCGGGCGCGAUACGCUGCGGGUCCGACCGGCGAUUUCUCGGCCGUCCCUAACCAGCGCGCGGGGCGAGGUGGACUUCGCGGUCCUGCCUCGUUUUUCUCCUUCACGGGAGAGAACCCGCCGCAUUUUCUGUCUACCUUGAAAAAAUUAGAGUGCUAAAGGCAGGCUAAAACCCCGAGCCUGAAUAUUUCGUGCAUGGAAUAAGCGGGGAUGCUCUUUUCCGGAGGGCGGUCCGACCGACUGGCGACGUCGCUUUCGCUGUCGGUUUCGCCGGAGAGCUAGGAUUCNAGAGGAACGGUGGGGGGCGAGCGUACCGGGCGGGGAGAGGAGAAAUUUUGUGAUCCGCUCGGGACGACUCGAAGCGAAAGCGCUGGCCCCGGACGUCUUCCUUAAUCCAGAACGAAGGUGGGUGGAGCAAAGACGAUCAGAUACCGUCGUAGUACCGACGGUAAACGCUGCCGACCGGGCCGCGGACGAGGCUCGAGAACAGCGGUUAUGGACCCGUCCGUGGCGGCUUCGGGCAACCUGAGAGUUUACGGGUUCCGGGGGUAGUAUGGUCGCAAGGCUGAAACUUGAAGGAAUUGACGGAAGGGCACCACAAGGAGUGGAGCCUGCGGCUUAAUUUGACUCAACACGGGGCAACUUACCCGGUCCGGACAUCGUCAGGAUUGACAGACGCUCGUGCAGUUCUUUCUCGAUUCGANGGGUGGUGGUGCAUGGCCGUUCGUGGCUGGUGAAGUGAAAAGUCUGGUUUAUUCCGCUAACGGGCGAGGCCUCGCCCUUAACUAGUCGGCUCGUGGUUCUCGAAUCGUAGUCUCCCUUCGGGGAGCAGGGAGAACAUCGGGCGAGUCGCAGCGAUCGUCGCUACUUCUUAGGGGGAUCCCGAGCAAGCUUAAGCUAGGUGAGAGAGAUCAAUAACAGGUCAGUGAUGCCCUUAGAUGUCCGGGGCCGCACGCGCGCUACACUGAAGACGAAAGCGCGAGUGCCUACGGUCUUGGUUUGGUCAGGC